UUCAAAUAAGCUUCACCUGUCAGCUUCACCUUCAAUCUCUCCUUUCUAGGGAGAUUCUAUAUAUAAGACUCUGGUCUGGACUCAGGACGUCUUUUCUAUUUGUCUAGGACUUGUUGGUAUUUGCACUCUGAAUAUAUUCUAGCUGGUCUCGACUGCGUUAAGCGAUAUAUGUUUUUUGAGGUAACUUCCACCUUGAAAACAAUCAUAAAAUCAAAAUCAUAAAAUUACCUUUUUAUGAAUUAACUUUUAAAAGUGUGCUAAAAAAUAUAUAUACUUCCACACUUUUGUUGUCAAGUUCUACAGAGAAAUGUUCGUACAUGUUCAUAUCCUACUAACUAGAAUAUUGUGAGUUUCAAAGUUUAAUUUUUUUUUAAAUAUAGAUGAUGAUAUAUAAAAAAUAUAAUGUAAAAAAAUGCUAAAUGGUGAAAAGUCAUUCAUUUUCUGUCCAGCUAAUUCUUUUACAUUUUGUUUUAUUGUUUCUGAGUAAUCAUGCCAAUGAUGCAAAUUCCACAGGGACUGAGGAGAAAGAGAGAGCGGGGGAGAAAACAAGGAGGGAGCUGAGCAAAAGAGGGACGGGGAGGAAAAAGAAAGCUAGGAACAGCAUGUGUUGGAUCUCCCCAGCUGAUAUGUGGUUUCCCCCAAACCUAAGCAUCCUCCUUGAUCCAAAUGUCAGCUUUAAGUCCGUUCAUGCAAGGCGGUACAAAUGGCAGACGCUAUGGGACUACAAAUGACGCGCUUCCGAGGGGAAAAGUCAACCAAGAGUCGGCGGGGUCACCGAAUAAAACGGAGAAUGAGAUGACAGAGAGCAAUCACAACAAGAGAACAAGGAGGGAGAGAGAGGGAGAGAGAGAGAGAGAGAGAGAGAAGCGGGAGGCGUAAAGAGGGGGGUGGAACAGAGUGGUGAAGUGCACACACACAGAGAAAACACGAUGCUUCCCUGCGUCACGGUGUGAUGGACGGCACCCACUGACUAAUAAAUCAGAGGCGGCGAAAAAGGCAGGAUGCUGAGAAGGGUAUUCGGAGCGACGCUACCUCGCGCUCUGGGUUGCCGAGAGAGGAGAGACGUGUCGGGAAUGUGGGAGCAGAUGCUCACACACAGAGAAAGAGAGAGAGACGAGCCUGGCCUAAUUUAGCCCGCCUGAUGAAAAAUGGACAGGAAAGUGCUUACUUGGCUCGCCCUUCCCUCCACUCCACCGCUUCUCCUCCUCAUUUCCUCCUCCUGCUCGCCCCAACCUUUUGCCUACCCCCUUUAUACCCUCCAUGCCCUUUCCACUCCGUCUGUCUCUCCUUGAUUCCCACUCUUUGAUCUCUGUUGUCUCCCUGCAACCCACCUCCCUCGCACAAAAACAAACAUCCCUGCACUGUCUUGAGCCAGACAUCCUUUCCCCCCACAUAAACUGGUAUUCAUAAAAAGCAGCUGAGAGUGAGCAGAUACUGCAGAG
rnacentral:lncRNA from 15 species